UAAUACGUAGGUGGCAAGCGUUGUCCGGAAUUAUUGGGCGUAAAGCGCGCGCAGGCGGUCUUUUAAGUCUGAUGUGAAAGCCCACGGCUCAACCGUGGAGGGUCAUUGGAAACUGGAAGACUUGAGUGCAGAAGAGGAGAGUGGAAUUCCACGUGUAGCGGUGAAAUGCGUAGAGAUGUGGAGGAACACCAGUGGCGAAGGCGACUCUCUGGUCUGUAACUGACGCUGAGGCGCGAAAGCGUGGGGAGCAAACAGGAUUAGAUACCCUGGUAGUCCACGCCGUAAACGAUGAGUGCUAAGUGUUGGAGGGUUUCCGCCCUUCAGUGCUGCAGCAAACGCAUUAAGCACUCCGCCUGGGGAGUACGACCGCAAGGUUGAA
rnacentral:rRNA from 1 species